rnacentral:rRNA from 1 species
UACGUAGGUGACAAGCGUUGUCCGGAUUUACUGGGCGUAAAGAGCGCGCAGGCGGUCGAUCAAGUCGAGUGUGAAAGCCCCCCGGCUCAACUGGGGAGGGUCAUUCGAUACUGAUCGACUCGAAGGCAGGAGAGGGUAGUGGAAUUCCCGGUGUAGUGGUGAAAUGCGUAGAUAUCAAGUGGAACACCAGUGGCGAAGGCGAAUCCCUGGAAAAUACCUGACACUGAGGCACAAAAGCUAGGGGAGCAAACAGG